CUAACGAGGAUUCCCCUAGUAACGGCGAGUGAAGCGGGAAGAGCUCAAAUUUGUAAUCUGGCGGCGUUCUGCCGUCCGAGUUGUAGUCUGGAGAAGCGUGUUCUGUGCCGGACCGUGUACAAGUCACUUGGAAUAGUGCGAUCGUAGAGGGUGAGAAUCCCGUCCCUGACACGGACCGCCGGUGCUCUGUGACGCGCUCUCGAAGAGUCGAGUUGUUUGGGAAUGCAGCUCAAAAUGGGUGGUAAAUUCCAUCUAAAGCUAAAUAUUGGCGAAAGACCGAUAGCGAACAAGUACCGUGAGGGAAAGAUGAAAAGCACUUUGGAAAGAGAGUCAAACAGUACGUGAAAUUGUUGAAAGGGAAACGCUUGGAGUCAGUCGCGUUGGUCGGAAUCAUCGCAGCAAGAGCUGUUGGACUUCACGACUCGACGGGCCAGCAUCGAUUUCGACCGUCGGAGAAAGGCUCUGGGGAAUGUGGCACCUUCGGGUGUGUUAUAGCCCCGUGUCGUAUGCGAUGGUGGGGAUCGAGGACCGCAGCGUGCUACCCGUAUGGGUGGCCGGGGUUCGCCCACGUAACGCGCUUAGGAUGCUGGCGUAAUGGCUUCAA
rnacentral:rRNA from 1 species